GCAAAACCACAGGAAAGAACUAUUAUGAACAAAACAAAUGUACCCAAGCUCUUAACUAUAAGCAUGAGGGAACAUGUUGAAAAGCAACAACAAUCAUCAUUUUCUUAUGAUUACAAAACUGUAAUUAUGUCCAUGUCAGCUUAUUUGUUCUAUUCAUUUAGGGAUACUCUAGUCCUUCACCAGAGAGAAUUAGAAGGCUCAAAACCCUAUGCUUUUACUCCUACUCAGGGAGUUCCUAUUCAAGAACCCAAUUACAACUACUUGAAAUUCUUCCCUCACACACUGAUUACAUUUAAACUAGCAGGUAAUGAGAGUUGCUAAUGGGAAAUACAAAAUGCUAUUGGUUACAGUCCUUGAGAAAAGAAAUACAUGUUUAUUCACUUCAUCCCUCAUCAAAAUCCCAUGAUCUCACAGAAACAAGGAAAAGUAAAAAGCCACCAUGAAUCAAUUUGUCUAUGAUACUUGGCAUCCAAGUCAUUUUUUACUUUCAAUUCGAAACGCAUGUUAAAAGUUCGUCUUUGCACCAUUUAACAACAAAAAAAAUGAUGACCCAUAAUCUUGUCUCUAUAGGUAGUAAAGUUGACAUUUUAUUUCGCAUUAUGCAUUCCAAGUUCACUCUCUCCCUCUCUUCCUUCUCAUUUUGCUUACAUCAUCCAAGCUUUAUCCCAAUGACUUGGGGUCGGCUACAUGAAUCCUAUAGUCGGCUACAUGAAUCCUAUGGCUUUCAUAUAAAUUCAGAAUACAAAACUUGUUUUUUUAAUAAAUAUUAAUGCAAAUAUAACAAUAAGAUCUAUAAUUUCGAUGGAAAUUCGUAUAAGGUGAAGCGCAGAAUUUGGAAACCCAACAUAGAAAAG
rnacentral:lncRNA from 1 species